rnacentral:lncRNA from 1 species
GGAAGAUGAGGAUGAUGAUUGAAGCUAUUUUGCUUCCAACACUCAGUUUUUGUACUAAUUUUCCAUCCGACAAGGGUUGAGUGAACAUAUGUGUUUUUUGCUGUAUUUUCUGUUACCUAGUUUGGUCACGCAGUUUGCUGAAACUCAACUCUGCUGGUAGUCAGUGGCAUCCACUUGUUUACAUAACUUGAAUGAACUUGUAUAUGUAAUAUGAUGAUACGUAAUAUAUAUAUAUAUGGUAUGUCUUUUAUCUGACUUCAGAUCUUUGUUGAUUCUUAUCUGCACUCUGAAUGCAAGGAAUAGUCGUUGAUCAAAGGAGCUUGAGUAGUUUGAAUGUUGGCUUAUAUAACACAGGCACCUGAGGUGCGCGUUAAACCAAGAUUUUUCUACCUAAAAUUUAAUUGGCUAAACAACAAAUGGACAGACUCCCUGGAUAUAAAAGUGAUAAGCAGAAGCACGAGAUCUUGGAAAAACAAGUAAAAUUCUGCGCUAAGCAUGGGUGUAUUUUUACUGGCCAUAACCAACAAACUCUUUUAGUUUUUAUGGUCAAAAGUUUAAUUGGCUAAACAACAUGACCUGAUACAGACUCUAUCCGUGUUUAAUUCAUAUAUUCAACAUCAGUAAUCCCUCUUGCAAAGUAGGGAAUAUAUGUCAGCUGUCAACAUUAAACGUUGAAAAAGUUAAAAGAAAGGCAAUAACCUCUCAACUAUAAAAUGCCGUCUGUUAAUCAGUACACCUCAAAUCUCAAUUUUUACUUAGGAUUCAAUUGUAUAAUGACCAAGGAUAGUGAAUGAGAACUUGCAACGUAUGCACUAUAUUACAUUUUAUACUAGCUUUCUUCUCAUGAAAAUAAAUGCUUGAUAAUAAACCUGCACUAAAAUAUAAUAUCUCUAAGUUUCAUGAACCAGAAAUGAAAGACAAAGCAACCUAAAGCCUGGAGAAGUUGAAAGUUUACUUCACAGAUGAUGAUUUUAAGCAAUUUGUCGAGCAGUAGCGAGGUGCCAAUGUGUCCACUGAACAAGAAUCAGGAAAAAAUUAAACACUUAAAUUGAAAACUAGGGAGUGUAAGAUAGUCUUAUCUAAAAGCAAGCACCAGCUACCAGCAUAUUCUCUUGGGUAUCUGAGUUUGGCAUUGGCAUGCUGGGUAUCAGCUCCAAAAACUUCCCCUUGAAUCUUCCUGUUGGUUCUUGACAAAAGAAACUUAGGGAAACAAACAGGGGAAAAUAAUAGGAAAAUAAAAGCUGUAUACUGGAAUAGAUGUAAAAGGAACUCUAACUGAAAAUUAUAUUUUAUUUCAUUGCAUUUGGACUUCAAUUUAUAAGAGGAAAAUGAUAGGAAAAUAAAAGCAGUGUACGGGAAUAGAUGUAAAAGGAAUUCUAACUGAAAAUUAUAUUUUAUUUCACUGCAUCUUGACUUCAAUUUAUAAGAAAAAUAUUAACUUAAAAGAUCUAAAAAUUCGCACAAAAUCUGAUGAAAUUAACAAACUCCUAGAGACUAGUUCACUCAUAAAGACUAGUUCAAAAUUAUUUAAAAUUCAAACUAAAUUACUGCAGUAAAUAACUCUUAAGUUGAAACAGUAAAAUAAUUUUAUUGAGAGCAGCUUCUAAAGCAUAUUUCUAACACUCCUCCUUACUUUUGAAGCUGCAAAUUUUGAAUUUAUGCCUUGUAAACCUUUAACUGGAAUCGACUUUGUACGUAAAUCUGCCAACUGAUCUUGCAGUAAAUCGAGUUCACUUUUCUAUUUUGCUGCAUCUCAUGAUUGUCAAUGAAAUAAGUUGGCUCUUUUUUCGGCUUCAUUUGCAUCUUGCGUUGAGACUUGUCAACUUUCUUCCAUAUUUGCAUUUUUCCUUGAGGCUUGUUAACUUUCUUCCCGAUUUUAUUUUUUUUGAAAUAUUGACAACUUCUUCUUUGCCUCAUUUUCACAUAUGUCCUCAAUUGGAGGAUUAUCUGCCCUUUGUAGAUUUUUUGGCUCCAUUUUUCUUCUUCUGUUGGAUCAAAUGAGAAGUUUUUACUUCUAUUUUUAACCCUUAAAAUCUCAAGUCCAGUUGCAUCAUAAAUAAAAUAAUAUUUAUCUUCAAAGAAUACUUUAAAUCCUUUUUCUAUUAGUUGCCCAACACUCAAUAAAUUUUGAUCAAUACCAGGAACAUAAAGAACAUCUGAAAUUUUCUUAGUACCUGAAUUUGUUGAGAUUGCAAUAAUUCCUUUUCCUUUAGCAAGAAUAUAAUUACCAUUCCUAAUUCUGAUUUUCUUAUUUUCCAUAGACGUGAACUCUUUGAAAAGAUUUUUGCCAUAUGUCUUGUGGUUUGUACAACCACUAUCAAUCAACCAAAAAUCAUAUUUCUUGGUUGAAAGAACAGUUGCCACAAACAAGUGAUCUUUUUCUUCUUCAUUGGUGACUUGAGCAUCUGCUUCAUACUUUUGAUAUUUGCCUUUGCAAAUUAUAGCUCCAUGACCAAGUUGGUUGCAAAUUUUAUACUUUGUAUCUGGCCUCUUCCAACAUUUGAAUGGUGGAUGACUUUUUUUGCUAUGGUGCUGACAAGGUGGGUAAUUUUUCUUUGCAUUAUUACAGUUGCUUUGAGUUUUGUGGUUGGCUAUCAAGGCUUCUUCAACCAUACCAUCUUGCCUCGUAAGCCUCCUUUGCUCUCAUGCCUGCAAUGUAUUUAACAAUUCUGCCAAGGUAAUCUUGGAUAGAUCCUUUAUAUUUUCCAAGGUAGUUAUGGAUACUUCAUAUUUUCAGGCACCGUAACAAAAAAAA